UCAGCUGGGCCUGCUCCCUGUUGGCCCUGAUUGAUGGUCCGAGGAACUUUGACCUGGGUUUAGUCACCGAAAUCCCCACCUGAAAAUCUCUUUGAAGAUUGAUUAAGUAAAUACUCAUCAGCACUGAUACUAACCAUCGAGUGACGCAGUCGAAUUCUCUGGAGUGAGAGGAAGAAGGCACAGGCGACAAGGCGGAGGCACAGUGCCUUUCUGUUCCUCUAACUGGGACCCAAACUGAGGAAGACCUCGUGAAGACAUGACAAGAUGGCCAUUUGCAAGCCAAGGAGAGAGGCCUCAGGAGGAACCAAGCUUGCUGACACCUUGAACUUGGACUUCUGACCUCUAGACUGUGAAGAAAUACAGUCUGUAGGGCUUUGUUUUGGUGGCCCAAGCAAACUGGUGCAAUCACUAGCACAGAAUGCUGUGCAAGGUAUUCUAGAAGACGUAGAGACAGAAGUGGAGAAGUACGGGAAAAAGAGGAACAGGAAUGGGUCCAUCCUUUCUUCUUCAUUUUCUCCUUCAAAACCACUCCCCAUUCAGCCUCUCCUUACUUCCACCCCCAGCAGAAAGAGGAAACUGAAGAGGAAAUGAAACAGAGGGCUCCCAGCAGAUGCUCUGGAAUGCAAUGGAAACCCUCUAACAGUCUGGCUGCCCCUCCUCCAAUCAGUUACGCAGUGCAUGUAUGUACAUGCUGCU